rnacentral:rRNA from 1 species
AUGUAGGUAUCUGCCCUUUGGCCUGGAAUAACACGAGGAAACUUGUGCUAAUACCGGAUAAGUCUUCACGGAGAAAGCUUUAUGCACCAUUGGAUGAGCCUGCACUUGAUUAGUUUGUUGGUGGGGUAAUGGCCUACCAAGACUGUGAUCAAUAGCUGAUUUGAGAGGAUGAUCAGCCACAUUGGGACUGAGACACGGCCCAAACUCCUACGGGAGGCAGCAGUGGGGAAUCUUGCACAAUGGAGGAAACUCUGAUGCAGCGAUGCCGCGUGAGUGAAGAAGGCCCUUGGGUUGUAAAGCUCUUUCGUCGGGGAAGAAAAUGACUGUACCCGAAUAAGAAGGUCCGGCUAACU